UACGUAGGGUGCGAGCGUUGUCCGGAAUUAUUGGGCGUAAAGAGCUUGUAGGCGGUUUGUCGCGUCUGCUGUGAAAAUCCGGGGCUCAACCCCGGACUUGCAGUGGAUACGGGCAGGCUAGAGUUCGGUAGGGGAGACUGGAAUUCCUGGUGUAGCGGUGAAAUGCGCAGAUAUCAGGAGGAACACCGGUGGCGAAGGCGGGUCUCUGGGCCGAUACUGACGCUGAGGAGCGAAAGCGUGGGGAGCGAACAGG
rnacentral:rRNA from 1 species